AUUGAACGCUGGCGGCAUGCUUUACACAUGCCAGUCGAACGGCAGCGCGGGCUUCGGCCUGGCGGCGAGUGGCGAACGGGUGAGUAAUGCAUCGGAACGUGCCCAGUAGUGGGGGAUAGCCCGGCGAAAGCCGGAUUAAUACCGCAUACGACCUGAGGGUGAAAGCGGGGGACCGAAAGGCCUCGCGCUAUUGGAGCGGCCGAUGUCGGAUUAGCUAGUUGGUGGGGUAAAGGCUUACCAAGGCGACGAUCCGUAGCUGGUCUGAGAGGACGACCAGCCACACUGGAACUGAGACACGGCCCAGACUCCUACGGGAGGCAGCAGUGGGGAAUUUUGGACAAUGGGGGCAACCCUGAUCCAGCCAUGCCGCGUGCGGGAAGAAGGCCUUCGGGUUGUAAACCGCUUUUGUUCGGGAAGAAAUCCUGUGGGCUAAUACCCCGGGGGGAUGACGGUACCGGAAGAAUAAGCACCGGCUAACUACGUG
rnacentral:rRNA from 1 species